AUAAUUAGCUAUAUUAUUAUUAUUCAUGUUGAUGGACAUUGAGAACUUUGUCAAAUGGUUCUGUUUUCGAAUAUGAAAAUCUUUGUUGAGACAUUCAUUUGUUUUAUUGAGACAAUUUUCAUGAAUAUACAUUUUCAUUUAGUUGAUACACUUUAUUUUCUCUCAUGGGCAUAUGGUGCAUGCAUGUAUUAAAACGACUCAAAUAUCAGAAAUUCCUGUAAUGGAAAUUUAUAAAAUAAAAUAAAAUAAAAAUUCAAGUUUUAUGAUCUUAAUUAACAGAACAUCAGUACUAAUAAUUCAAUAAGGAUAUUUAAUUAUAUUCUUCAGUUCAUUGUAAAAUUAUAUUUGAACUUUUACCUGCUGCAGGGCUUGCCGAUUAAUAUAAUUGUUGGUUCUCAUAUUUGGGUUGGAGAUCCAGAAUUAGUCUAGGUUGAUGGACAAGUUUCAAACAUUGAUGGAGAGGAAGCUGAGAUUCAAACUAGCAAUGAAAAGAUGGGCCUAUAUUUUUGUCAUACUUACAGUAUAAUAAAAGGCCAUGUGACCUUUGUAAAAAAAAAGUAUGAUAAAAGAUUGGCAAUGAUCUUUCUCAAUUUGUAGGGCCUCUUAUCUUGAAUCAACUUCUAUAGUUAGAAGAUGUUGUUGUGGAUGAGUUAAUGAGGAAGUUCUUCAAAAAUUAUACAAAUUGGUGCAAAUUCUUGCAAAAAAAAAAGCAACAUU